CGGGGGAUGGCGGCAGAGCCGGUGGGCUGCGGCGGCUCCAGGUACCUGCCUGAGCGUGGCACUGCGCAGUCUGCCCCCGGGUCGCAGGGGCGCUCCUGAGCUUCGCGGGGCCGCCUCUAGGGCUGCCUGCGCGGAGAGCCGACCGCGGCCGACGUCGGUGUUAAGUGGCCGCCCCGGCCGGCUACCCGGAGCCAAGAGCAGGCGGCGCAGCCUGAGCGGGACGUGGCCACGCUGGCGAGGCGGCCAAAAUCAACAGCUGAUUUGGAUACCAUCAAGACACCUGAAACCUUAUCAUGAGCCAGAUUCCGGGAGGAUCCCGAGGACCCCUCAGUUGCAGCCAUGUUGAGACUGAUGGCUGAGGAGGACCCCAACUGUCACAAGCAACACCCGUCUAACACAGCCACCCACCUGGGGACAGAUCAAGAAGCUGUCACAGAUGGCGGAAGAAAACCUGAGGAAAGCGGGACAGCCAGUCACAAUGGGUAAUUUAAUGGUAGCUAUGAUAGCGGUGAUCACCAUUGCCGUAAGUAUUCCUUCAACAAGAGCUGACACAGAGAACAAUUAUUCUUAUUGGGCAUAUUUAUCAAUCUUGGCUGGCAAUAAUGCCUGGAUGUAAUCACUCUAUCACACAGUUACACAUGCUUUCUGAUCUCAGUAUUUACCAUAAUAAAUCUGCUCCUAUAAUUGAGGCAUACCGCCCUCAAAAACCUAUUUGUACACAGGAUUGGACCCAGUUAGACAAAAUGAACAUACUUGUUUAGGAAGAUUGCAUUGCAGAACAGGCAGAGGUGCUGCACAACGAUUCCUAUGGAAUCAUUAUUAAUUGGUCCCCUAAGGGGAUGUUUAGCUUGAAUUGCACCUCUCAGUCUGUGUGCCACUGCUACACUAUGUUUAGAUGAUCUGAACAAAAUGGUCAGAUGGUAGAAAUGAUAAAAAGUACGGCAAGAGUUCCUCUUAUCUGAAACCAUGGCGGUAUAGUGGCACCUCAACCUCAGAUGAUAUGGCCCGUUGUAGGAGCUAAACAUAAGAUAAGGAUUUGUGGCUUAAUAAGAUCAAAAAUUUGGG
rnacentral:lncRNA from 1 species